rnacentral:lncRNA from 10 species
GUACACCAGAUUCUGUUCUUGUAAAACAGAGCAAAAUGCCAGGCGCGGUGGCUCACUCCUGUAAUCCCAGCACUUUGGGAGGCCGAGGCGGGCGGAUCACGAGGUCAAGAAUUCAAGACCAGCCUGGCCAACAUGGUGAAACCCCAUCUCUACUAAAAAUACAAAAAUUAGCUGGGCAUGGUGGCAGGUGCCUGUAAUCCCAGCUACUCAGGAGGCUGAGGCAGGAGAAUCACUUGAAAUCAGAAGGCGAAGGUUGCAGUGAGCCAAGACUGUGCCACUGCACUCCAGCCUGGGUGAAAGAGCAGAACUCCAUCUCAAAAAAAAAAAAAAAAAAAAAAAGAGCAAAAUAACUUACUAAAAUAUAAAAUAUAAAGAUGAGAGCUGAGUAAGUCAGCUCACAUGGACAAUUGCUUUAGGAAAAAAUACUUGAAGUACAUCCUUUAAUUCUCUGGUUUCUUGCUUUUACUUAGAUUUUGGCCCAGCAGUUUUUUGGUCUCUUGUCAGUCAGCCCCUCAAUCCUUUGAAUAAAGAAUUUUAAAAUUUAUCUAGCAUUCUAAAUUGUUUUAAGUAACGGAGUUGAUCACAAAAAACCUGAAAGCUUGCUCCCUUAUUUCCUUUUUAGUUUUAAGUUUACCUUAUCAGUGAGGCCUUCCUUAUCCACACUUUAUUUUUAAAAUCUCCUAUACCCCUCCCUACCCUCCUUUGUCUUAUUUUUUUCACAGCCAUUAUCAUCUGUGUAUCAACUGUAUAUUUACUUGUUUAUUUUCCAUCUCACCUGCACUAGAAUGUAAGUUCCAUGAAGAAAGGGGCUGUUUUAUUCUCAUUGCCAAAAACAGUGCCUGGCAGACAAUAAACAAUAUUUGUUGAAUCAAUGAAGAAAAGCUCUCCACUGAGCUCCAUACUGAAGUAUCCUACUGUCAACUUGAAAUCAAAUAGGUUUUUCACUCUUAGACACAAUAAAACUUUUGAUUUUCUGUCCACCCCCAACACCAUCCCAGCUUUCCUAUUCCUCAUUUCAGUAAAUAGCACCACGUUCUUUCAGUUACUAAAUCAGAAACUUGAGUCAUUUGUAGUUCUUCCUUUUCCCUCAAAACCUAGAUCCAAUUCAUCAGCAAGGUCUAUAGGUCAAAC